ACUGAACGCUGGCGGCAGGCCUAACACAUGCAAGUCGAACGAGUGGCGGCCGGGUGAGUAAUGUCUGUGAAACUGCCUGAUGGAGGGGGAUAACUACUGGAAACGGUAGCUAAUACCGCAUACCAUCAGAUGUGCCCAGAUGGGCUUAGCUUGGUGGUGGGGUAACGGCUCACCAAGGCCACGAUCCCUAACUGGUAUGAGGGGAUGACCACCCACACGGGAACUGAGACACGGUCCAGACGCCAACGGGAGGCAGCAGUGGGGAAUAUUGGACAAUGGGCGCAAGCCUGAUGCAGCCAUGCCGCGUGUAUGAAGAAGGCCUUCGGGUUGUAAAGUACUUGCAGAGGGGAGGCGUUACCCGCAGAAGAAGCACCGGCUAACUCCGUGCCAGCAGCCGCGGUAAUAC
rnacentral:rRNA from 1 species